AUGACGCUGCAACAGGAUUCUUC
rnacentral:misc_RNA from 1 species